AGGAGUGGAGCCUGCGGCUUAAUUUGACUCAACACGGGAAACCUCACCAGGCCCGGACACCGGAAGGAUUGACAGAUUGAGAGCUCUUUCUUGAUUCGGUGGGUGGUGGUGCAUGGCCGUUCUUAGUUGGUGGAGCGAUUUGUCUGGUUAAUUCCGAUAACGAACGAGACUCUAGCCUGCUAACUAGGCGUAUUUCGACAUCCCAAAGGCCCGCCGGUUCGGGGUUCCGACUCCUUUCCGCGCGCGGUUUUUACUGUCGGCGUACAAACAAUUCUUCUUAGAGGGACAGGCGGCUUCUAGCCGCACGAGAUUGAGCAAUAACAGGUCUGUGAUGCCCUUAGAUGUUCUGGGCCG
rnacentral:rRNA from 3 species